rnacentral:misc_RNA from 1 species
AACCAUUCUCACCUGCGGCUAGACCUGCGGAGGGAUCAUUACAAGUGACCCCGGUCUAACCACCGGGAUGUUCAUAACCCUUUGUUGUCCGACUCUGUUGCCUCCGGGGCGACCCUGCCUUCGGGCGGGGGCUCCGGGUGGACACUUCAAACUCUUGCGUAACUUUGCAGUCUGAGUAAACUUAAUUAAUAAAUUAAAACUUUCAGCAACGGAUCU